AGUCUAAAUAGAGGUGCGCCGAAGAUGAGUACAUCUUUUCGUAAUCUGCCAGGGGGCGGGAAGAGAGGGAAAGGCUAAAGCGCCGAAGCUGUUGCUGUUCCCCUCGGAUAGCAGCGGCUGGGGUGAUUCGUGAACAAUGAGCAUCCUGUCACAAAAGGCAAUCGCCUGUUUGUGGAGCGCUAUUUACGAU
rnacentral:ncRNA from 2 species